CCAGACAGCCAGGAUGUUGGCUUAGAAGCAGCCAUCAUUUAAAGAAAGCGUAAUAGCUCACUGGUCGAGUCGGCCUGCGCGGAAGAUGUAACGGGGCUAAACCAUGCACCGAAGCUGCGGCAGCGACACUGUGUGUUGUUGGGUAGGGGAGCGUUCUGUAAGCCUGUGAAGGUGUACUGUGAGGUAUGCUGGAGGUAUCAGAAGUGCGAAUGCUGACAUAAGUAACGAUAAAGCGGGUGAAAAGCCCGCUCGCCGGAAGACCAAGGGUUCCUGUCCAACGUUAAUCGGGGCAGGGUGAGUCGACCCCUAAGG
rnacentral:rRNA from 1 species